UAUGUCGGUCGUGCUUCGGUACGUACUGUCAUUAUUGGUUUCUCCCUUCUGAAGAACCUUGAUGUCAUUAAUUUGGUGUCUUGGGGAAUCAGGACUGUACUUGAAAAAUUAGAGUGUUAAAGCAGGCUCGCGCUUGAAUACAUUAGCAUGGAAUAAUGAAAUAGGACGUUUGAUUCUAUUUUGUUAGGUUUCUAGGAUCGACGUAAUGAUUAAUAGGGAUAGUUGGGGGCAUUAGUAUUCAAUUGUCAGAGGUGAAAUUCUUGGAUUUAUUGAAGACUAACUACUGCGAAAGCAUUUGCCAAGGAUGUUUUCAUUAAUCAAGAACAAAAGUUAGGGGGAUCGAAGACGAUCAGAUACCGUCGUAGUCUUAACCAUAAACUAUGCCGACUAGGGAUCGGAUGAUGUUAAUUUUUUUAAUGACUCAUUCGGCGCCUUACG
rnacentral:rRNA from 1 species